rnacentral:rRNA from 1 species
UGGCGGACGGGUGAGUAACGCGUGGGUAACCUGCCUUACACAGGGGGAUAACACCUGGAAACAGGUGCUAAUACCGCAUAAGCGCACAGGGCCGCAUGGCCCGGUGUGAAAAACUCCGGNGGUGUAAGAUGGACCCGCGUCUGAUUAGCUUGUUGGCGGGGUAGAGGCCCACCAAGGCGACGAUCAGUAGCCGGCCUGAGAGGGUGGACGGCCACAUUGGGACUGAGACACGGCCCAAACUCCUACGGGAGGCAGCAG